GUAUCAGGUUUCUUCCAUGCUAAAGAAAUAGGCCAUGGAACAAGCAUUUAAGUCAAUGAUGACCCAAGCACCACCAAACUCAUUUGGCUCCAACUCGUCUUUCCCAUUUGGCAUGCCACAACAGGCAUAUCCUACUGCACCAAGCAGUUUUUCGUACUUGGAACUAAAGAAAGAUACCUCCCCACAGGUGUCAACUGUUGAUGUCUCAGCUACCGAAGUGGAUGCCGCUGGAACAUCGAAAGAGGUGGAUGUGACUGAGACACCAAAACCCUCUAAGAAAUUUGCAUUUGUUGAUGUUUCUCCCGAAGAUUUGCGGCAAAAGGACCUCCAAUCUUCACUGGAGAUGGUAGAUGUAAAACAUGAUAGUACAGAAAGUGAAACUAAGGAGGAUACUGAGG